UUCCUAUUGGCGCAACAAAUUGUGACGUCAUAUCGAGCGUUCCUCUAUUGGUUCGGAAUAUCGGAAAGAUGUAGUUUCAACGGAGCCGAGCGGUGACAUACUCCUGAAAUUCGUGCAGCGAAAAUUUAUCUUGUCGAGUGUUAUCCUGCUGUUAGUACCUUCAUUUCGACUUUAUCAACGAUUCUACACUUUCAUCUAGUUCAUUCAAAUAGCACAUUAUUGGCUGGUCGCUACUGAAAAGACUGAAAGAAUAGGGAUUCACAUCACAGACGCCACAAGCGAUUAACAAUCGAUAAUUCGGACUGAAACAAGAUGAACGUCAUAGAUAAUUAUUUAUAUAUCGAAUCGUUGAUUUCUCAUGCAGAUUUGGUAAUGAUUGCAGUAUUGUAACAAAGCAGAGUUUUUCAUAAUUUCUACUUUUUCCUGUGCUUUGGAAAGGACGCAGUGAUGCUUCAGAACAAAGCAUGUAAGAAUCUUU